GGGGAAUAUUGGACAAUGGGGGCAACCCUGAUCCAGCGAUGCCGCGUGAGUGAAGAAGGCCUUCGGGUCGUAAAGCUCUUUAGGUUGGGAAGAAGGGUGCGUGUUGAAUACACAUGCACUUUGACUGUACCGACAGAAUAAGCACCGGCAAACUCUGUGCCAGCAGUCGCGGUAAUACAGAGGGUGCGAGCGUUAAUCGGCAUUAUUGGGCGUAAAGAGCUCGUAGGCGGUUUAGUAAGUCGGGUGUU
rnacentral:rRNA from 1 species